ACACAAGACAAAACAACAAUGAGCAACAUUAUCUUCAUCUGGACACUCACACUGCUUGCUCAAGAGUGUAGAGGACAGUACACUGUUACUCAGAGCCCAUCAAUAACAGCAGCUCAAGGACAAGAAGUCAGAAUAAACUGUAAAGUCAGCAGUAGAGUGCAUGGUGGUGAUUACUUACACUGGUACUUACAGAAACCUGGAGAAGCUCCUAAACUCCUCAUAUAUGGUGCAACAAGCCAUAACACUGGAACUCCAUCUAGAUUCAGUGGCAGUGGAUCUAACAGUGAUUUCACUCUGACCAUCAGUGGAGUCCAGACUGAAGAUACAGGAGAUUAUUACUGUCAGAGUGAACACUCUAUCAGUGGUAGCUGGGUGUUCACACAGUGA